UAGGGAAUCUUCCACAAUGGGCGCAAGUCUGAUGGAGCAACGCCGCGUGAGUGAAGAAGGGUUUCGGCUCGUAAAGCUCUGUUGUUAAAGAAGAACGUGGGUAAGAGUAACUGUUUACCCAGUGACGGUAUUUAACCAGAAAGCCACGGCUAACUACGUGCCAA
rnacentral:rRNA from 1 species